GAUGAACGCUAGCUACAGGCUUAACACAUGCAAGUCGAGGGGAAACGAUAUUGGAAGCUUGCUUCCGAUAGGCGUCGACCGGCGCACGGGUGAGUAGCGCGUAUCCAACCUGCCCAUCACUUGGGGAUAACCUUGCGAAAGUAAGACUAAUACCCAAUGACGUCUCUAGAAGACAUCUGAAAGAGAUUAAAGAUUUAUCGGUGAUGGAUGGGGAUGCGUCUGAUUAGCUUGUUGGCGGGGUAACGGCCCACCAAGGCGACGAUCAGUAGGGGUUCUGAGAGGAAGGUCCCCCACAUUGGAACUGAGACACGGUCCAAACUCCUACGGGAGGCAGCAGUGAGGAAUAUUGGUCAAUGGGCAAGAGCCUGAACCAGCCAAGUAGCGUGCAGGAUGACGGCCCUAUGGGUUGUAAACUGCUUUUAUAAGGGAACAAAGUGGGAGUCGUGACUCCUUUGCAUGUACCUUAUGAAUAAGGACCGGCUAAUUCCGUGCCAGCCGCCGCAGUAA
rnacentral:rRNA from 1 species